rnacentral:rRNA from 1 species
CGGACGGGUGAGKAAMAMGUGAGAAUCUACCUUCAGGACGGAGAUAACCGSUGGAAACGGCGGCUAAUCCCCGAUGAGCCUACGGGUGAAAGCGUUAACGCCUGAAGAGGARCUCGCGGCUGAUUAGCUAGUUGGUGGGGUAAGAGCCUACCAAGGCAACGAUCAGUAGCUGGUCUGAGAGGAUGGUCAGCCACACUGGGACUGAGACACGGCCCAGACUCCUACGGGAGGCAGCAGUGGGGAAUCUUCCGCAAUGGGCGCAAGCCUGACGGAGCUAUACCGCGUGAGGGAAGAAGGCUCUUGGGUCGUAAACCUCUUUUCUUGGGGAAGAAAGCUGACGGUACCCAAGGAAAAAGCCUCGGCCAACUCCGUGCCAGCAGCCGCGGUAAUACGGAGGAGGCAAGCGUUAUCCGGAAUUAUUGGGCGUAAAGCGUCCGCAGGUGGCCUCUCAAGUCUGCGGUGAAAGAGCGGGGCUUAACCCCGGAGGAGCCGUGGAAACUGAGAAGCUAGAGUGCGGUAGGGGUAGAGGGAAUUCCCAGUGUAGCGGUGAAAUGCGUAGAGAUUGGGAAGAACAUCGGUGGCGAAAGCGCUCUACUGGACCGCAACUGACACUCAGGGACGAAAGCUAGGGGAGCGAAAGGGAUUAGAUACCCCUGUAGUC